UAUGAAAUAAAGCCUCAACACUCCAAGACCUCCGAGUGCCACUUGUUUUUUUCCAUCGGUGAUCCAGUCCAGGCUAUUUUUCUUCAUUUUCCGUAACAUUUGGUUCCCUGACCGGGAAACCCAACCGCGCUGGCCCUUUGUUGACACUGGUUUGCGGCAACAGCGGGAUGGUGAUGGAACAGAUCACAACGGUGAAGGCGCGCCCUGCCUGACCUUUCAGCAGUCUCCCACCUGGUCGCCCUGGGCCAGCCACGCUCCACUGUUCCUGCUGGACUCAAGGAGGCUUGGCAUGUGAAGACCUGGUUCCGACGUCGAAUCCGGCUGGUCCAGUUUGUCAGAGACCAUGUGGAGGCUGUCCAACUGAUAGUCCUCCAUGCUCAAUACAAGCCUCUAGUAAUACUUUUACACCUGCUUACCUUUGAACCAUGUAUUCUCAAUAGACUGAUGACUUUUGUCAAAGAUAAAAUUAAUACAGUCCAGCUAAUGGUGCUAAGGCAACAGUAUCAGCCUUUAUCUCCUAUCAACUGAAAGAGGUUCCGGGAUCCCAGAGACCCCCAGGACUCCUGACCCAGAGGGACCCAGUGCUGGCUGAAACCACAAAACUGCAAAUAGUAAUAGAAAUGAAACCCAGAAUAGAAGCGCCAAUCUUCUGAGGCCCUCUCAACUGACCAGUGAUGGAGACCUAACUGCACCCAGUACUGCGCCCCCUCUCAGCAUGAAGCAGUCAGAGCGGUCAUCACCCCUUUUCCCUAGCAGCAGCUAAGGUCUCUAUCUGUAGAGGGGAGAAUGAGACAAGGACCAUAGGCUUAGACAGAAUAAGGUCGCAGGCAUCACUCCAAGAGUCCAUCAUUCCAGAGUGAAAAAAAGCCUGUCAUCCUAUUAAAGAAGCACAUUAGCAGGAGGCCCAGCCAGACCUCCAUAUCCUCUCUGCCUCCACAUCUGACAAUUGCCCUCUGACUAAUGGACACCUGCGUGCCGUAGAUCCUGGCUCUUGUUGGAGUAGUGUCUUUUAUUCUGGGCAUUGGACUCUAUGCUGUUGCACCCCUGGACUGGACUAUUCCUCAAAAAAAGUUGCCCUUUCUAUUGUCUAUUGGGUAAUCGUUAAAUUGUUUUACUGUGCUUACCUGUCUCUCCUAGCUGGACCCAAGUCUCAGCCUGCAUUUCCAAAGUACCUCUCUGUAAUGUUUAAUUGUAUAAAAGUUAUAAAGUGAGAGUGGGCUAAAGGGAGCUACCUCCUUUCCCCCAGUAAGAUUUCCUAGGCAGAACAAGCUGCCCCUUUACUGAUCCCUGCUCUAGUUGGGCUCAUUAGAGCUGGAUCAGCUGCAGUAGACACAGCAGCUCUAAUAAAGAAACUCAGGGCUUGAUGCCCUAACAGAGGAAGCUGAUCAAGAUUUAGAGCAGCUUGAAACCACCAUGAUUCAGCUGCAAGAUCAGACUGAUUCCCUGGCUAAAGUAAUGUUGCAAGAUUGUGAAGACUAGACCUCCUGUUCAUGUCACAGGAAAGCUUAUGUAUAGCCCUGAAAAAAGAUUGUUGUGAGUUAUCUAGCCAAAGUUAAAGAAAACAUCCAGCAUAGAAAUAAAAUGCUUGAAAAUAAAAGGUCUUAGUUACAGAGAUGGUUUGAAUAGAAUCCAUGGCUAACAACUCUUCUAACUGACCUUGCUGGGCCAGCAAUUCUGCUGUUCCUUAAACUAUUAAUGAAACCCUGUAUAUUUAAUUGGCUCAUUAACUUUAUGGAGGAAUGCGUUUCCUCCAUACAGCUCAUGUAUAUGCGGAGCCACUAUGACCCUAUCAUAAGCCAAAGAGAUGAUGCCCCCUAGGUGUUUGAAGGGGCAUCAGAGGGGGGAAUCAGGGAAAAUUUACAAGGACAGCAACCUAAUGGGUGGCUCCACUCUGUCUCACACCCCUCCCUCCUCAACAUAAACAACACUACAAGGACAGUAAUUUAUGAGGUGGCUCCCCUCUGCCUUGCCCCCCUCCUCAACCCAAACAAAAAAAAAACACUCCCUUGGUUUCCCUGUGCUGCCCAGCACCAGGUCCCAAGGUUCACUCCCUAAAGUCACUCCCCCUUGCCUGCUCGCUUGCUGUGCAUGUAGGAAUGUUACAGAUAAGGAAGCAGAAAGGUAUAAAUUGCUCCCUUUUCUUUUGUUCGGGGCUCAGACUUUUUGGGAGAUUACUCCCCUCUGAGCCCGCUGGUGUGAAAUAAAGCCUCAACACGCCAAGACCUCUGAGUGCCCCUUGGAUUUUUCUGUCAGUGAUCCAGUCCAGGCUUUUUUUUUUUUCAGUAUUUUACGUAACAAUGGCAGCCAUAAGCCAUUCCAAGAGUGUCUGAUUCCCUGAGGUGUGACAGGCAUUUUGCAACUGCUGCUGGAGGGAAGGGUAUUUUGCCCCAGGAUUUCCUCCUCCCAGACUAACAGGCAAUUGAAGAUUUUUUUGGAAAGCUCUAGAUAUUGGAUGAUGUCAAACAUCAUGAUUAAAUUUUCUUAGGUGAGAAAAUUUUGUGUUUUGUUUAACCCUGUCAGGACGUUUAUAUAAAUACUCAUAACUGAAACAAUAUGCUUGUGAUUUCUUUAUACUGUCCCCUUCCCACC